rnacentral:snRNA from 1 species
UAUGUUACUCUAUGCUGGGUUGCUGCGAUCAAUGAGGUCGCGGCCCCGUGCGGAGACCUCCCAUUGCACUGCGGUUGGUUGAAGCGCGCCACUUCCACGAAUCGGGGUUGGUGGGGCACAUAAUUUUUGGUAGUGAGGCUCGGCGUUCGCGCCAGCCCCAA